GUGGGGAAUAUUGCACAAUGGGGGAAACCCUGAUGCAGCGACGCCGCGUGAGUGAAGAAGUAUUUCGGUAUGUAAAGCUCUAUCAGCAGGGAAGAUAAUGACGGUACCUGACUAAGAAGCCCCGGCUAACUACGUGCCAGCAGCCGCGGUAAUACGUAGGGGGCAAGCGUUAUCCGGAUUUACUGGGUGUAAAGGGUGCGCAGGUGGCAGGGCAAGUCAGAUGUGAAAGCCCGGGGCUCAACCCCGGUAUUGCAUUUGAAACUGUCCGGCUAGAGUGCAGGAGAGGUAAGCGGAAUUCCUAGUGUAGCGGUGAAAUGCGUAGAUAUUAGGAGGAACACCAGUGGCGAAGGCGGCUUACUGGACUGUAACUGACACUGAGGCACGAAAGCGUGGGGAGCAAACAGG
rnacentral:rRNA from 1 species